ensembl:snoRNA
CUGCAUGUUUAUCCAAGAGCUGUGGCUCUGUGCAAUAGCUACAGGUCUCCAACAACAUGCGAGAGCAACGGGAAGGUCUUUGACUGCUGGGCCUCUUUUGCCUGUUGCUGUCACUCAUCCCUCCUAUAUAU